rnacentral:tRNA from 1 species
GACCCAGUCGUCAAAUUGGUUAAGAUCUAACAUUUUCACUGUUAUAUGUGUGGGUUCAAUUCCCACCUGGGUUA